rnacentral:rRNA from 1 species
AGUGAACGCUGGCGGCGGGCUUAACACAUGCAAGUCGAACGGAAGAGCCUAAUUUCCUUGCUUUAUGGGUGGUGAGUGGGCGGCCGGGGGGGGAUUAAUCCGGAAUUUAUUUUUCCUGGGGGUUUAUAUAAGGUAAGUUAACUUUAUUACCUCUUCCACCUUACGGCUGAAUGCUGGGUUUUUUCGAACCUUGUCUGCUUGAUUGAGCCGAGGUCGGAUUAGCUUGUUUGCGGGGUAAAGGCCCACCAAGGCGACGAUCCGUAGCUGGUCUGCGAGGAUGAUCAGCCACACUGGAACUGAGACACGGUCCAGACUCCUACGGGAGGCAGCAGUGGGGAAUAUUGGACAAUGGGCGCAAGCCUGAUCCAGCCAUACCGCGUGGGUGAAGAAGGCCUUCGGGUUGUAAAGCCCUUUUGUUGGGAAAGAAAAGCAGCAGGUUAAGACCCCGCUGUUCUGACGGUACCCAAAGAAUAGGCACCGGCUAACUUCGUG